GAAGAAGAAAAAGCCAAAAAAAGUUAUAAGAAAAAAAAUCUUGGCAAAAACAACAACAACAACAGCAACAGCAGACUUGAUUUAUGGAUUUCGGGUAACCUCGAAAUAAAAAAAAAAUAGAUGUGAAUGAUGAUGAUUUAGAAAUAAUAAAGUCAUAAAGCAAGACCAACAACAAAUCAACCAAUAAUCUUUGCAAUAAUUCCAUAAAUCGACAAAUGAAAUUGAAAAAUUGAAAUUCACAAUACUUGAUUGAAUGAAAUGAAAUAAUGAAAAGAUUUUAUUAUUGUUUUAUUGUUGUUCAAAAUUUAGCGGUCACAAUUGUAUACAAUAGUGGACAGAUGUUGUGAAUGAAAAAAUAAUGAAAAUCUAUUGUAUAUCUCCUGUAUAUUUAUUGUAAUUAUGGCCAUUAUGAAUUAUGAAAUGAUGAAAUGGUAAAAAAAAACAUAAAAACCGACACACUGUAUUGUACUGUACCUGUUGAUGUCAUAAAAAUCAUGAAAAAAAUGAAUUUUUAGGCGGA